GACGGAGGUUGCAAACGUUGUUCGGAAUUACUGGGCAUAAAGCGCACGUAGGUGGUCCGCUAAGUCGGAUGUGAAAUUCCCCGGCUCAACCGGGGAACGGCAAUCGAUACUGGCGGGCUUGAGGUCCGGAGGGGUGAGUGGAACUCCUGGUGGAGCGGUGAAAUGCGUAGAUAUCAGGAGGAACACCAGUGGCGAAAACGGCUCACUGGCCGGAUUCUGACACUGAGGUGCGAAAGCUAGGGUAGCAAACGGG
rnacentral:rRNA from 1 species